rnacentral:rRNA from 1 species
GAUGAACGCUGGCGGCGUGCCUAAUACAUGCAAGUCGAGCGAACAGACGAGGAGCUUGCUCCUCUGACGUUAGCGGCGGGCGGGUGAGUAACACGUGGAUAACCUACCUAUAAGACUGGGAUAACUUCGGGAAACCGGAGCUAAUACCGGAUAAUAUAUUGAACCGCAUGGUUCAAUAGUGAAAGACGGUUUUGCUGUCACUUAUAGAUUGAUCCGCGCCGCAUUAGCUAGUUGGUAAGGUAACGGCUUACCAAGGCAACGAUGCGUAGCCGACCUGAGAGGGUGAUCGGCCACACUGGAACUGAGACACGGUCCAGACUCCUACGGGAGGCAGCAGUAGGGAAUCUUCCGCAAUGGGCGAAAGCCUGACGGAGCAACGCCGCGUGAGUGAUGAAGGUCUGCGGAUCGUAAAACUCUGUUAUUAGGGAAGAACAAAUGUGUAAGUAACUAUGCACGUCUUGACGGUACCGAAGCAGAAAGCCACGGCUAACUACGU